GCCUCGCCCUUAGGUGUGCUUUUGUCCUGCACCGCGACACGUGUAGGUUAGAGUCGCAGAUAAAGAAUUGAUACUGUAGAUGCGUUUCCCACGCGUCCUUUCUCACCCACACGAUGCCAGAGCGAGAUCACGCUACCGAACGUUUUAUGGUCUCUUCCGAGUUCGUAGUCGAGCUGCACUACCACGGGCUUCGGUGCCACUCUUACGUGGGCCAGACGUGCAACACAUAAGGCGAGAAACCUAACCGACUCCAUCCUGGGGACCGUGGCUCCCUUCGUGGAAGCAGGUGGUGCGGCGCGGGGCGGGGCGGAGCGGCAGGCGCGGUCCAGUUCUGAAGUCACAAAACUCAAAAGCUGCUCAUUCCUGUCCUCUCCAGGCAAAGGCAGCUCAAGCAUCUCAUCCGACGUGAGUUCAAGUACAGAUCACACGCCGACCCAAGCCCAGAAGAAUGUGGCUACCAGUGAAGUCUUUCUCAUCCACGGGGUGUUGAAGGAACAGCCUUUGACCUUCCGCUAUGAAAGUCACGUCCAGCCCGUGGUUAGAACGGAGCACACGGCAGCCAGCCCGAAACCGAGUCCGUUGGAUUGGGUUGGGUCAUGAGGCCGCUUCCUAGAAAUCGUAAGCUCAGCCCGGCCUUCGUCUUUCUGAGAACAGGGUUAUGAGGAUGUGGCUUGACUGGUGGCAUCUCAACAACUCCCACUUCUCUUGGGCCUGGGGAAGGUGACGCAGUUGGUUCAGAGGCCAGAUGUAACUGGCUGCUGAGGAGUCCGCUCCAUCCAGCUGCUCUUUAAACAUAUUCAGGUUCAGAUACUGAACCCACUGACAGCACAAUUUAUAGGUGUGAUGGCUUAUAAAUGCCGUUAUCAAGCGGGCCAAAUAUGGAAUCAUAGGAUUUUUAGAGCUACAAAGGCCUUGGCAACUUUUCUGACCUAAUACGCUCGUUUUACAAAGAAGUCCCUGCGGGCACAGAGAAAUAAAGAGAUUUGCUCAAUAUUACA
rnacentral:lncRNA from 1 species